UACAUGCUAUAUACUGUAUGCCACAAUGCGCAACGGUGGGCCAGUUGUGUAGCUCGUGGCGUUGAUCCGUGAGUGCGGGCGUCUGAGCCAUGGCUCAGAACUUGUGCGAUGGUAACGGCGUGCGCAGGGGAUGCGACUUCUUGCGGCAGAGCGGCGAUGGAUGCCGAUGGUGUGACCGGGUUCCCACACUAGGAGGAGUUUGCGAAUAGCUUGGAGCAGCCAGAUCCAGUCCCUCUGAUGCUGCUACCGCCGUGUGUGGAAGCGCCGGCUGCGCGCAGCAAUUAGGGGACUGCAGCCCGGUCUAGAUCCGUUGGUGACCCGUGCAGAUGGUGAUACAAGGGGUGCCGGUCUGCUGAUGCACUAGCAGGAGCAGCCCCUGGAGAAGGCGCUGGGCCUAAUCCGGAUCUGCUCCUCUUCCAGCGUUUCCCUAGCAGAUCUGGUGGCUUCUGUCCAGUUAAUCGGUUCCAUCUCUCCAGAUUACAUUUGAUUCAGAUCUAUUGCCUGUUGAAUUUUCUAGCAAGUCAAUUGAUUUGUUAGUUUAUCCAUGCCUAGGAUUAUUGGGCGAGUUUAUUUGAAAAAAAUAGAGGCACCAACAACAAAUCACUAGUUCAUUCUUUGCAAAUUAAAUUACCCUAGUGAAUUGCAUUCCCCAUUUGUUUGAUGUUGAUGUCCCCCACAUGCUUUCGCUGAAACAUUGAUCACCGACGAAGUGAUGAUGCCCUCUUUUGUUCAAUUUCUCAAGUAAUGUCUCAUGAAGGUAGUACCAAUCAAUUUAUUUGAUUAAGUUGAGCAAUUGUAUUUUGCUUCUUGAUUACAAUUCAUGCCGCAAACACAUAGGGUUAUUGUUCGAUGCCUGCUAAGAAUAUGAGCUUGGUAUUUGUAAGCGGGGUCACUUGAUUUAUUUAUGGCGAAGUGGUAUGCUCAAGAACUUUUUGACUUGUAGGCCAAAACUGGUAUAGUUGAUAAAUGGAAGAUCGAAUCUAAAAUUCAGCGCUUUGUCAUUUCUUUACCUGGGAUUUGCCUAGUAAGCAUUUUCCACUAUUGUGAUAUCCACCUAGUUUAAAGUAAAUGGUGUCUACAAAACAAAUGAAACGUAUACACUAAUGUCAUUUUCUGUUUGCAAGGCAACAGUAUGCUGGCAAAGUUAUUCAGCCUGAAUCUGCUCCAUAGGUUUGUUAUGUUGGAUAUGGCCCAAGAAUUUCUUUCUUAAUCUUCUCUGUUUUAAUAAGUAUUCUUGAAAUUUUGCUAGCACUGGAUGUCUAGUUGCAGCUUGUGCCGGACUACGUACAGGAAGAUUAUUUUUUCUGUUAAAGGCCACAUUGUUGUUCAAGCCGUCCCAUCAUUUUCUUGAGCAAACUUCUAAGUGUUCCAUUAUAGUAUCAAUUUAUAAAUGACAACUUCAUGUAAAAGAGGAAAUGUGCUAACUUAUAAAUGACUUUUCUGUAAUUUAUGCAAAAGGGUUAUUUAAUACUUUUUCAGAAGUAUCUGGUCAACUUUGGCCAUGAUUUAAUUUGUCAUAAUUUAGGUCGGUAAUUCAGACUAUCUCACUGGGAUUAUGGAUUAUGGUAAUCCAAUCCUACGAAAAAAAAGUGAAGUUCUCAUGUCAGUUGUUCCGAUGAUGAUAGAACUAUGAUAGGUUGGUUUUUGGUUUUGUGAAGCUCCCUUGUGAGUGUGAACCACAUGUUACAAUUCCAUGUUAACCAGUUGUGAAAAACUCAUAAGGUGUGUAAAGAGUUCUUCAUUGCUUGUUCUGUACUUGCAGUUUCUUAUCAUCUACUAGGAGUUUUGGUGUUCUUGUAUUAGUCAACCUUGCAUGAUGAAAAUAGCCUUUUAUAUAAUUUGCUUCUGUUAGUAAACUUGGUCCAAAAAAACACAAUCUGAUAGCUCAUCUUGGUCAGCAUUUUUUGGUGUAAUUUAGAGACAAGUUGAAUCUAUGCUUGUACAGUUCAUGUUGCAACAAUGAAAUUCCACUAUGAUGAGGUAGUGAAGAUUUUCUCGUUUAAAUACAUAUGACAAUUUAUAUAGCAAAUGCAUCCGAACAAAACCAUUUGUUUGUAUAAAUCGCAAUGAGCUUGAAGAAACCAUUUUAUUUUGUAAUAUUACUUUAGUUGCACUGCUCAAGUAAUCCCAAAAAUGCAUCAACUUGUUGCUCAAGUACUUGGACUAACUAGAAUGGUGAGCCUUUUAACUAGGCUUACCAUCAUCUCCUUUUGCGAACCUAUUUAUGCUUGAAAACAUGUUACAAAACUAUUGUAGUAUGAAAAAGUUUACUAAAAUGUUGUAUUCUGACUUCCUAAUUGUUUUUGGUAAUUUAGGAAACAUGGAGCUUCCCAACCAAAGCAAUAGAGAAAAGCCAGGACCCAGGAGUGACCAUUGCCUUUCAUCUUGCAUCUUCAGAAGUGUCGCGACCCUGGACAUGAUGAUUUUAGAAUUUAGAAUUUAGUUUUUUUAGAUACAUGUCUAGGACAACCCCGCAGUUCUUGCAUUUCUGGUAGACAAAAUCGUUCGUUGCAAUUUGUGUUUACCUUGCAGUUCUAAAAUUCAGUUCAAAAUUUGUUGAGCAGUGAUACUGUUAUAUAUAAUAGCUCCUCUUUUUUGUGGAUGAAAAUAUCUGCUCUUAUUCUGGCACAUAAAAAUGUUCCAGCUUGAUGGGCCGUUGGCCAUGGUGGUCAUUGUUGGUUGUGGCAUAUGUCUUCUAUAGUCGGAUAUGUGGAUGGUCGCAUGGCAUUCUUAGAUUUGGAUGCCCUGCUAUACGUGUAGCUCUAGCUGAUUUAGCUCUAGCUGAUGAUGACGCAGACAUAGCAGCAGAUCAAGGGGAAAAAAUAGAUAAAGACA